rnacentral:lncRNA from 1 species
AGCAGGCCACCCGGCACCUUCCGUUGUCACGUCGCUCACCCCCUGGCCUCCCUUUGUACCUUCCCAGAAGCCUUGUGAUGACACUGGGCCGCCCAGAUACCCCAAGACUCUCCCCUGUCUCAAGGUUCUUCAUUUCAUCUCAUCGGCACAGUGCCUUUGCCAUAGAAGCUCACACAUCCACAGGCUCCAGGGACGGGGACGCAGACACCUUUGGGGCACGUGGUUCUGCCAACCACGGGACCAGAUGACGUCACCUGGAGAGGGAGAGAGAAAGAGAGAGUCAUGCGUUCAAGGCACUUCUGGGGUCCCCGGACAGAGACCUGCUCCCAGAAAGCGCCUGCCCGGUUCUCCUUGGGCUGACGCGUGUCACGGUCCGUGGUUCCCGGGACUUGCGGGCAAUUUUGUCUCCGCAAAUUCCAAAGACGUCAUUCAAUGUGCGAGGGGGAAAAGGACACAGCUUCAUGGAUAAUCAUCACUUUAAAUAUAAGUUCUUGGACCACAGAAUGGGUGCCAUACGUCAAUGCUAUGCAGUCAGAGUGAUUUUGUGUCGUCUAAGCUCUUAGUUUGUCGAUUCCAAUAUUGGGUUUGAUUGAGCGUAAAGUUUAACCCAUGACUCAAAGGUCAGACAGUCAUAGCAAACGAAAUUGGGAGACAAGACCACACAGAGUGCCCACUGUGUUUGCCCCGUGGCUUUUCCCAAAUGUCGACGGCUCAGCCAUCCAGCAUCACUGGAGAAGGUCUGCGGCCUGGACAGCACAUCGCAGGGACAUCUCCAGACUUUGAGCAGAACACCCCGUAAACUGACGUGAGGUUUCUAAGGCAAUGUGACAGGACCAUGGGGUGGGGCGGGUCAGGCCAUGUAUAAAGGUGUUUACAACGAAAAUCACAGAGGACAAUUUAGGCAGGACCUGCCAGCCCCAGGCUCUGAAGGAAAAAGGAUUCGGGUCUUAAGGGGUGACAGUGUGGAUGGGCACGCGUGUCCUCUCAGUGACAAGAAAGGUUUGGAGCUGGAG